rnacentral:lncRNA from 1 species
UUUUGAGGGGGUGCAUGUGCAUAAUGAGGGUGCGGAGGUGGAGGAGUUGGGUUAUAUACUUGUUGAGGUUGGUCAUUCCUCCACCUAAAAUUUGGAUGGUUCUUCCAUCCAGGGUUGUAAGUACCCGAAAAAGGAUUAUUGAAAGAUUUUUGAUAGGUAUUCAUAACAUUGGCCUGAUCGUGCAAGACUUCCUUCAAUGCGGGUAUUGUGGGGCAAUCAGUGAUG